rnacentral:rRNA from 1 species
CCCUUAGAUGUUCUGGGCCGCACGCGCGCUACACUGAUGCAUUCAACGAGCCUAUCCUUGACCGACAGGUCCGGGUAAUCUUUGAAUCUGCAUCGUGACGGGGAUAGAUUAUUGCAAUUAUUAAUCUUCAACGAGGAAUGCCUAGUAGGCGCAAGUCAUCAGCUUGCGUCGAUUACGUCCCUGCCCUUUGUACACACCGCCCGUCGCUCCUACCGAUUGGGUGUGCUGGUGAAUGAUUCGGACUUCAGCGGCUCCCCUGGGGUGCGCCGGAGAAAGUUUUGUGAACCUUAUCACUUGGAGGAAGGAGAAGUCGUAACA